AUUGCUCACCUAUCACCUCUUUAUCACUUUUUCUUUUCUCAGUCUGAAAUCAGUCUAUCUGCUCUCUCUCCUCACUCGCUCUUCAAGUCACAUCGACUUUUUCCGUUCUGUGAAUGAAGUUGCUGAAGAAAAUGAACUUGGGGAGUCCAAUAACCCCAAAAAUUUACUCACCACCUAAACACAGUCCAUUCGAAAUUAGAAAGGAACAGAACCCCGCAAACCCUUAAUUCCCAAAUUAGUUUCACACUUCCGCUCAAAACUCAAACCCUCCGGCGCCGAUCACCUCCUGCCGCCGCAGCAGCCCUUGUGUUGCCGGCGCCGCCCAUAAUUUCAAAUACUUUGGUCGCUGUGUUGAUCUGGUUCUUUUUUUUACAAUGGCUCACGAUAUGUAACAGAGUUUUGCAAGAGGUAACAUUCUAACCUUUGUUUUCUUGUUGGAUAUCAUGAGUUGUAGCAUCUUAUCAUUAUGUUAUAUUGGAACUUUGUAAUAUGUACUUUGCUACUAUGUAGUCGGAUGUACCGGUAUUCGGCUGCCAAUUGAAUGAGUUUUACAACUCUUGGUUCAGCAGCAUCCCUUCCGUUGGGAAAAUAGAUCAGUUGUGGCAUUAAUGUUCUUAAAUAUAGUUCAGAUGUUGAUUUAUGUUUGCGUACCGCCUCUCCAAUCCACUUACCUAUUUUGUCAUAACUGAAAUGCCUUCUUCAUUGCACCCACUGUACCCUCGUUCAUAAUGUGUGGAUUCCUAAGUGCUUGAAUAAGUUGCUUAGCUGUGUUUCAUAAUGUGAGCUUUCAUGUGUUACAAAUUGGAAAGCACCAUAACCACAACAAACAAAUUUUUUGAAGGGUUUACGUUACCUGUCUAUUAACAGUGGUGAUCAUGACAUGGAUAUUCCAUAUGUGGGUAUUAUGGCUUGGAUAGAAUCUAUGAACUUGACUCUUUCAUUGGAAGCCAUUGUUCAUCGACGAACAGGUUGCAGGGUUGAUAUCUAUCUUAUCUUCUUCCUUC